rnacentral:rRNA from 1 species
GCUUACGGCCAUACCACCCUGAGAACGCCCGAUCUCGUCCGAUCUCGGAAGCUAAGCAGGGUCGGGCCUGGUUAGUACUUGGAUGGGAGACCGCCUGGGAAUACCAGGUGCUCUAAGCU